rnacentral:rRNA from 1 species
UACGUAGGGGGCAAGCGUUGUCCGGAAUUAUUGGGCGUAAAGAGCGUGUAGGCGGCUAGGUAGGUCCGUUGUGAAAACUCGAGGCUCAACCUCGAGACGUCGAUGGAAACCAUCUAGCUAGAGUCCGGAAGAGGAGAGUGGAAUUCCUGGUGUAGCGGUGAAAUGCGCAGAUAUCAGGAAGAACACCCGUGGCGAAGGCGGCUCUCUGGUACGUGACUGACGCUGAGACGCGAAAGCGUGGGGAGCAAACAGG